AGGAAGGAACUCAAAGUGAGCGGCACCCUUUGGUAAUUUUCCCUUAUAUUUCUGCGGCAGUAAAAUUAAAUCAAGAGCUGUGCUAGAUACACAAGGUAAUGUGGAGAGUGAGUUUGAGUUGACGAUUUCGAUACCCGCCUCAAAUUGACAUAACCAAAUGAGCAACGCAAGGAAGAAAAGUACACACGAAGACGAUGAGGUUCAACAGUUGCUGCGAGCAGCGCAGGACGAUCUUCUCCUCAAACUCAGCGUCGAUUCCCACAUGGCGCGCGCCUCCUCCUCAUCUCGAACCUCCAUGGAUCCAGAUCUCGAACGCCGCUUCCAAGCCCUCAAAUCCAAACCCCAAAACACGUCAACUUCUGCUGUUUCAACUACAAGAACAAUUGAUGAUGAUAGGGACCAAGUGAAAGUCAAUACUACCAAUAUUAUUGGCGGGUUUGAGGCGGAUGAUCUGUUUGCUAGAUUUGCGGUGCUCAAGGGUUCUAUUCCGUCGCAUAAUCGUAAAAAUGAUAUUGAUUCUUCUGAAAUUGUUAGUAGGGAGAAAGAAGAAGAGAGUGAUGAUGAGGUGGAUGAAGUUGAAAAGGUAAUAAAAUGGGCAAUUGAUGCUGCUAGGUUGGACCCUUCUCCUCUCUCUGAUGAUGAAAGCAGUGAAGAAGAAGAAGAAUAUCAUAAUGAUGAUAGAAUGGAUGGUGGAAAAAAGGGCAAAACGAAAUGAUCAGUGCUUCAACAAGAUGAGGGCAUAACAGGGGGAGUUAACAAUAUUAGCAUUUAUCCAUCUGAAUCACAAAAGAGAAACAUAAUUCAAGUCUCCAACACAAAUAAAUCCCUCUUCUUCUAUUUCAAUCUCUCCAAGAGGUAUAUGCAGCAAUACAAUAAAGUGGAACUCCAUGGUCUUGGGAUGGCUUUUUCCACAGUGUUUGUAUUGCUGAAAUUCUGAAAGAACAAUGGAAUUGGCAUUGAAAAGAAAAUCAGGACAUUGACUGUAGACACAAGGGAUGAACCAGGCAUGCAAUUAGUCCCCAAGAGAAGUUUGAGAUAUUACUGGAGAAGUGAGAGAACUCGAUGAAUUGAUGGCUGCUGAAGCAAAGGAAUGAGAAUAUGGAGGUGACGAACACAAUGGACCUACAUACUUCCAUAGUCUGGUCCAAGUCCAGUCAUCGGGUAAAUUACAACUAGUUAAGUGUAUAACUUACUGGACUUCCUUUUUUUUUCAUUUUUCAUUUUUUUCUUUUUAAGAUGUGGUGGGGGUUUAUAUUAUGUCUGUGUAGUAGGAUUGAAACUCCAGGUGAUGAUAUUUCUUAGAUCAGUUCAAUGAGGAGCAAUCCUUCUGAACCAGAAAGCAGGAAAAAAGGAAGUCUUACAUGCUGAAGGAUGCAUGCUUAAGUGUAUUUGGGUCAUAGUCUCCUCGACCAAUGAUAGGCACGAAAGCUGGCUUCAAAGGAUCUUUCUUGACAUAAUGAGGAUAAAUUAUUGCUUGAAAUUUAGUAAAAGUGGUUUUCUCAACCAAAAACUUGUACCUGCUUGGCCCCUGCACUCUAGAAGGUCGUUGCUGUUACAGUUAUUAGAGCUGAUAUUGAGGUGUCAUAUUUGAAUGUUGCAAGAACCGGGUUCAUCUGCUUGGAAGAGAAAAAGAAGGGUGGGGGGGGGGGUUCAAUUUGAAAUUGAGGUUCUCUUAGUAGACUAAAUUAUAAUUUGUCGACAUGGCAACCAUUGUAAGUUUCCUUUUGUGUGCGCGCAUGUGUGCGUUUGCGCUCUUUUAUUGAACUUAGAACUAGAUAUUAUUUAUAGGCAUGAUUUUAUUUAAAUUUAAUGUGUAACGCAUCAUUUGUAAGUUGAUCAAUUUGUGCACAAAUUCUUGUGGGGAAUUAGAACUUUGUACGAAGAGGAACACUGGGGAGAAGAUGGAAGGCUUGAAGUAACUUGGUUUUAUGAAUCAAGAAUCGUGAAAGAAUUUACAACUUACUUUAACAUAAAUUCAGUUAAAGAUUUUUACAUGAAA